rnacentral:rRNA from 1 species
CGCGUAGGCGGCUUGAUAAGUCAAAGGUGAAAUCCCUCGGCUCAACUGAGGAACUGCCUUUGAAACUGUCAGACUUGAGGCCGGGAGGGGGUAGCGGAAUUCCCAGUGUAGCGGUGAAAUGCGUAGAUACUGGGAGGAACACCGGUGGCGAAGGCGGCUACCUGGACCGGUUCUGACGCUGAUGCGCGAAAGCGUGGGUAGCAAACA